GGGACUGUGGCUUAGUGGUAGAGUGCUUGCCUAGCAGGCAUGAAGCCCUGUUCGAUUCCUCAGUACCA
rnacentral:tRNA from 1 species